GAUGAAAACGUAGCGAAAUGCGAUAAGUAAUGUGAAUUGCAGAAUUCAGUGAAUCAUCGAAUCUUUGAACGCACAUUGCGCCCGCCAGUAUUCUGGCGGGCAUGCCUGUUCGAGCGUCAUUUCAACCAUCAAGCCCCCGGGCUUGUGUUGGGGACCUGCGGCUGCCCGCAGGCCCUGAAAACCAGUGGCGGGCUCGCUGUCACUCCGAGCGUAGUAGUAUCACCUCGCUCAGGGCGUGCUGCGGGUUCCGGCCGUUAAACCACCCAUUACCCCAAGGUUGACCUCGGAUCAGGUAGGAAUACCCGCUGAACUUAAGCAUAUCAAUAAGCGGAGGA
rnacentral:misc_RNA from 1 species